rnacentral:miRNA from 1 species
AGACGAGCAAAGAAGUUCGUGGAAAGGUUAUUGUUUAAUUUUACUUUGUAAACUUUUUAAUGUGUCGUUUUCAACCAUGAAGUGAAAUUAAACAAUAACCUUUCCACGAACUUCUUGGUUCGUCUC